GUCAAUAUUUUAUUGGAAAUGUUCAGAUUUAUUAUCAUCAGUUGUUCAUAAUGGUCUCUUACAAUCUUUUAAACAGUUUUAUGAUCUGGAGUAACAUUGAAUAUGGAUGCUGUGGAGGAAGAAUGUAGAGGGAAACCACCUUUUUCACCAUGUGACAUCAAGGGUGCUUGUUGUUAGCAUGACAUCAGUAACUGUAAACAAGUGUUGUUCUCCAGGCUGAUGUAGUCUUGGUAAGACUUCUUCAUCCGAGCUACAUAUAAUGGAUGGAAAUUAUGCUCCUCUCUGAGCUGAAUCAGAAAGACCUCACCCUCCACAGGAGUGUUUGACUAAGAGUUAACCAAUGCUAAAUUUUGCUAAGAACAACAAUGGAAGGGUAAUUCUUUGUGUCUUUGUAAUUCACUCUGAGCAAAAUAUACUGAAAAUGCAUGAGCUCCUUCAGAAUGUAAAAGCAAACGUUUUGGCCACCAGAUGGAGACCCAGUACCGAGUUUUGGAGAUGUGGCUGACUACCC